rnacentral:misc_RNA from 1 species
UCCAAAUUCAAGAGUGCACCUUCAUUGUCCUUCAAGAUUGAUCCUAGGAUUUCUUUCAGAAGAUCUGGUAACUGGGCAAAUAGCCAAAGCACUCCAAGAUACUUAAGAAUACCCCUUAGAACCUUCUUAAGAGCCACAAGAGGAACCCAGCCACCUCCAUACCCUCCAUCAUCACCAAGACCGAUAAUGGCUGUAUUUAGUUCUCCUCUCACAUGAGCAGGGACACCAGCACCAGGGGAUCUACGUAUAGGCAAUCCUGAGCUCAUGACAGCCAAAUUUGAAGAUCCCGGAACUGCAUUUCCAACCCGAUUUAGAGCAGCAACUUGGGUAGCUGCCCUAGAAAGUACUGCAGAACUAGGCAAAGUAACUCUAUUUCCAUUAGCACCUGAUAACUGAGAACUUGAACCUGGAUUUG